rnacentral:rRNA from 1 species
GACGAACGCUGGCGGCGUGCUUAACACAUGCAAGUCGAACGGAAAGGCCCUGCUUUUGUGGGGUGCUCGAGUGGCGAACGGGUGAGUAACACGUGAGUAACCUGCCCUUGACUUUGGGAUAACUUUAGGAAACUGGGGCUAAUACCGGAUAGGAGCUCCUGCUGCAUGGUGGGGGUUGGAAAGUUUCGGCGGUUGGGGAUGGACUCGCGGCUUAUCAGCUUGUUGGUGGGGUAGUGGCUUACCAAGGCUUUGACGGGUAGCCGGCCUGAGAGGGUGACCGGCCACAUUGGGACUGAGAUACGGCCCAGACUGCUACGGGAGGCAGCGGUGGGGAAUAUUGCACAAUGGGCGGAAGCCUGAUGCAGCAACGCCGCGUGCGGGAUGACGGCCUUCGGGUUGUAAACCGCUUUCGCCUGUGACGAAGAGUGAGUGACGGUAAUGGGUAAAGAAGCACCGGCUAACUACGUG